UCCUUUGGAAGUCUCACCAGGCUGAGCAGGACUUAGAGGAACUCCGGCUACGUUUGCUGUCCCAACAAAUAGACCAGGUAUAGAGAGAACAGGCCCUGUGAGAGCUCUCUUCCCUCUAGAGCCUCACACUUGCUGCCUCCUCUGCCUGGAACUCUCUCCCUCUGCUCUCACAGGGUUCCCUAAGUGUCGCUUCCUCCAAGAAGCCCUCCCUGAUGAGUUGAGCCACUUUAGUUUGUGCUCAGGCUCACCCUGCACGUCUUGGUUGCUCUCAUCACUGUAAUGAUCUAAAACACACGUCUGCUCAUGAGACCCGCAUCCCACCCCCGAUGCUGGGGCCGCUCUUGGAUUUUCAUGCCUGCUGCCAGCACCCAGGGGGAGCUCCGGAAAUGUCUGCUGGGUGAGUCAUGAACGCGCAACCUGUUGAUCCAGGUUGGUAAUCAGUGGCCGGGCCUGCCAGCAAAUCACCUGACCCGGUCACCCAGAGGCUGGGAAGGACUGCCGCGGCUGCCGCCCAGAUCCCUCCUUCCUCCCCCUGAAGGCUCUGCCUGGAAGGAGCGAAGGGGUUAAGUGUUUCUGGCGGCCUGGUGCUGUGUCUGCUGCAGUUCCCCCUUCCGGGGCUGCAGCAACCCGAGGUUGGCGAGGAAUGUUUGCAAUGCAGAGCUAGGAGGAGGGCGGGCUGCUAGAGGUGGGGGCCGAGGCAGGCCCGCGGCCAGGCUCCCUAGUUGAGCAAUGGCCCUGCUGGUUCCUGUAACUCGACACGCGGCGCCCCAUUAAAGCGGCCGUCCCGGGCGCGCGCCUCAUUCGAGGCGACGGGCUCCGGGCCCUGAUAGAUGGGGUGCGGGGACGGAGACAAAUGACGGCCUUUGUAAAAAAAAAAAAAAAAAAAAAAAAAGGGAUAGCGGUAAAAAGACAGCUACUCCGUAGACAGAGUAGGAUGUUCCUGAAAGUAAGAGGAGGAGCGAGGAACGCAUCCACCCUAGGUACAAUGCUUGUAUAUAUGGGGAGAUUUGCUCUGCUACAAGGGUUUGUGAUAAAGGAUGGGCUCGGAAUACCCACCUUUCUGGUAAUGCAGCCCAGCGGGUCCCAGCCUCGUUUUCCAGCCCUCACUCAAAAUGGAGUCGCUCUGGUUCGAACGCCUCUGACAAGUGUGUACCUACGUGUCAGGCCCAUCCUUCCUGCAGGCCUUUGUCUUGGUGUCACCCUGCCUGAGCUGGCCCCAACCACAGUAGCAACAGUGAUGCUGAUGUGUGACUGCUGCCAGGAGCCUGCUCACAUGACCGUGUGGAGAAAGUUCUUUCCCUGAGGACCAUCUGGAGUGGACGCGUGCACUACCCCUCUCUGAAUACACCCUCCCCACGAGGCCCUCUGGAGCAUCCUGUAGAGCCAGCCCCUACCCAGAGACCCUGAGCCCAGAGAAUGCGCUGGGUGGUGAGCCUGGGGACGAAUGCAGAGCCCUAGGUCUCCUCUCCAGAAGUGGUCUUUUAGGAGGUAACUGAUGAAGAGGGAGCGCAGGAUGGGGUGGGGAAAGCACAUUCCAGGCAGGGAACAGCAUAUGCAAAGGCCCUGUGGCUGGAGGGAGAGCUUCGCGUUUGAGGGACAGGAGGGCAGCCCCGAAUGUGACGAGCGAGAGGGAGAGGAGGAUGGAGAUGUGGGCAGGGGUCAGUCUGGGCGGUGGCCAGCAGCCAUGAGAGUGUGAUGGGCUGUCUCUGGCAGGCAGUGGGGGAGCCAUGGAUGGUUGGACACAGGCGUGACCUGGUCAUCCUGGUGGAUGUUGAUGGUGAUGAGGAGAAGGAUGGGGUUGAGAAUCGUAGGAGGUACUGAGUUCUUACCGCGUGCCAAGCACCAUUUCACAGAUCGAAGUGAGGGCUGGGGAGGGGAAGUGACUUAUCCAGGUCACACCACUGGCAAAUGGCAGAAAUGGGACUCAGACCGCAUCUGUCUGGCCACACAGUCCGCACGCUCGUCCUGCAUGUCCUGUACACACUGUACACAGAGCUGCCCUUUGUCUGGAUGCGGAAGCCAAGGGACAUGCAGACGACCCUGUCACCUGCCUCCCUGUGGUGCUGACUCCUCUCUGCUCUGAGUUCCAGGCUGGGUGGGGACUGCAGGUCACAGGAUUGGCCGGAGCUGGAAAAGCCCAGCUCAGUUCCUGCUGAGGCCCAGCAGGGGAAGGAGAGGUUGCAACAUCGGCGGAGGCUGAGGUUCCGGAGAAGACCGGAUUUUGCCAUGUUGGCCAGGCUGGUCUUGAACUCCUGACCUCAAGUGAUCCACCUGCCUCGGCCUCCCAAAGUGCAGGGAUUACAGGUGUGAGCCACUGCACCCGGCCUCAGGCAGGUAUUUUUACCAGCCGAAUACUCUUGCACUGUGCACUCUUCGUGUUCAUCAUCAGUCCCCCGGAUGGGUGUUUAAGGCAUUUCCAAAGCUCUGUUAUUAAAAACACGAUGCAAUGAGUUUCUUUCAGCAUGUUGGAGUGCCAUGGUGUGGUCAUAGCCCACUGAAGCCUCAAACCUCUGGGCUGAAGCCAUCCUUCCGCCUCAGCCUCCCAAGUAGCUGGGACCAUAGGUGCAUGGCACUGUGCCUGGCACUGUCUGAAUGCAUACAGCUGGUCGUAGCAUCGUGGUAAGAACACCCGCCCUGACAUCACACAGACCUGCAUCCACGUCCCAGCUGAGCCUCAGUUCUCACAUCUGCAAAAUGGGGAGAACAACAGCAGCAGCGUCCUGAGGCUGGGGUGAGGACCGAGUGAAAAACCUUUGUCGCAUCUUUGGGCAUCGCAGGAGUUCAAUAAAUGUUAGCUAUCGUUGUCACUUUGUAUUAUCCAGCCCAGUCUGGCCCGUUGUAAUCACCUCCUGACCUGUGUCUGGGAGCUCACAGCUCCAAGCAGCAAUUCCACAGCUGGAAUCAUUUCACUGUCACAGAACACUCCAUGGCUCCCCAUUGUCUUCCCCAGGACAUAAACACUCCAACUAAUUUUCUUUUUUUU
rnacentral:lncRNA from 1 species